CGACUAAGCCAUGCGAGUCGAAUGUAGCAAUACAUGGCGUACUGCUCAGUAACACGUGGAUAACCUACCCUUGAGUUGGGAAUAAACCCGGGAAACUGGGUAUAAUACCCGAUAGAUCUCGACUGCUGGAAUGCAUCGAGAUCCAAAGCUCCGGCGCUCAAGGAUGGAUCUGCGGCCUAUCAGGUAGUAGUGGGUGUAGCGUACCUACUAGCCUACGACGGGUACGGGUUGUAAGAGCAAGAGCCCGGAGAUGGAUUCUGAGACACGAAUCCAGGCCCUACGGGGUGCAGCAGGCGCGAAAACUUUACAAUGCUGGAAACAGCGAUAAGGGGACCUCGAGUGCCAGGUUACAAAUCUGGCUGUCGUGAUGCCUAAAAAGCAUUGCAUAGCAAGGGCCGGGCAAGACCGGUGCCAGCCGCCGCGGUAACACCGGCGGCUCGAGUGGUAACCGUUAUUAUUGGGUCUAAAGGGUCUGUAGCCGGCCGGAUAAGUCUCUUGGGAAAUCUGGCAGCUUAACUGUCAGGCUUUCAGGAGAUACUGUUUGGCUCGAGGCCGGGAGAGGUGAGAGGUACUUCAGGGGUAGGGGUGAAAUCUUGUAAUCCUUGAAGGACCACCAGUGGCGAAGGCGUCUCACCAGAACGGACCUGACGGCAAGGGACGAAAGCUAGGGGCACGAACCGGAUUAGAUACCCGGGUAGUCCUAGCCGUAAACGAUACUCGCUAGGUGUCGGCAACGGUGCGACCGUUGUCGGUGCCGUAGGGAAGCCGUGAAGCGAGCCACCUGGGAAGUACGGCCGCAAGGCUGAAACUUAAAGGAAUUGGCGGGGGAGCACCACAACGGGGUGGAGCUUGCGGUUUAAUUGGAUUCAACGCCCGGG
rnacentral:rRNA from 1 species